GCUGGAAUUUAAAACCAGCUCAUUUGCAUAAUGUUCGCAUAUAGACGCCUCUUUUCCGCUUGGUUGACGCUUGGUUUUAAAUUUGACGCUUGGUUAUCCAUAUGAGUGCUAGAUUUAAAAUUUUUAAAACCAACUGGUUUUAGUCUGAUUUUGACGCCUGGUUUCCUGCUCACAACCAGGCGGUUAAUUUCGUACAGGAUGUAAACAUAUGGCGGUUUCUGGAGCUCAUAUUUUGUGUGGAUAAACCUUUUUCCUUAUCAUUUGAAAGAUGACCAAUAUUGUGUCUGUGACAAAGAUGAGGAUCCUGUGACCAACAAGAUUUGAUGGGAAAGUUGGAAAGCUUAAAAGAACAUGCUAAAAAUGAUUACGUUCCCAGAUAGUGCAGAAAGAAUGAAGCAGAAUCCGACCAACAGCAGCAGAACUAAAUGGGGCGAUAACGGAACAAGGUUCAUUCUGUCGAAAACAUAUUAAACACAGAAUAUGAACUCUUAAAACAAUAAGUGAUAGUAAAAAUGUGUAAAAAAUAACAUUUUCAGCUGUGCCUUUAUUAAGAAAAUAUAUUAAACAAUGUUUUAUUGUCCUGUUUUCCG